rnacentral:rRNA from 1 species
CUAGCAGUAAACGGUGCACGUUUGGUGUGGGAGGAUUCGACCCCUUCCGUGCCGGAGCUAACGCGUUAAGCGUGCCGCCUGGGAAGUACGGUCGCAAGAUUAAAACUCAAAGAAAUUGACGGGGACCCGCACAAGCGGUGGAGUAUGUGGCUUAAUUCGAUGCAACGCGAAGAACCUUACCUGGUCUUGACAUGCAUUGUGUCUCUUGUGAAAGCAGGAUAGUGUAGCAAUACACGCUUUGCACAGGUGC